CCAUCUAUGUUUGCAACAUGGUGAUGGUUGACAAGAGGAUUCCCAAGAGGAACAGACAAAUUUGAAUUCACAUGAGGAGGACCAGACACAUUUCCCUCAGAAUGAGGUAUUUCACAGGAGGAUUCCCAAGAGGAACAGACACAUUUGAAUGCACAUGAGGAGGACCAGACACAUUUCCCUCAGAAGGAGGUAAUUCAACACUAGUGGAGAUAUGAGCAGCAGCAGGUUUCCUUCCCUUGUUAUAUUUGAUACUUUGAGGAUACCCAUGUAUCUUAUAGCACUUAUCAAUUAAGUACCCAGAUUUCUUGCAGUAUCUGCAAAACAGGGGUUCUCUAUUUGACUCAAAAUUAACUCUGGGUCUGAAAACAGAAGAAUUAGGCGCUGAGGCCUGAUUAAACCCAACUGGAUGCUUGUUUGUGCUAGCAUUAAAAGACAUGGAGUCUGGACUGAAUUGAGAAACAGAUUGAACUUGUCUCUGUUUCUCAUCAUUAAGCACUAUGUUGUAAACACUGUCAA
rnacentral:lncRNA from 1 species